rnacentral:lncRNA from 1 species
AAGUAUGGAUUGUUUGCUUUGACACAGUCCACUUAGAACCUAGAACUGUAAGUUUCUCAAGAAUUUCUUGCAAAUUUUCAAGCUUGAUGUUGCUCAUCAAAGAAGAAUAUUCAUCGUUUUUGAAAUUAGGUAAUUCAAAGAACUCAUUAAUAGCAUUUGAACUUAUUGGUACCUUGAUUCUGCGAACUGGAACUUCUGUCAAAUCGCUUGAGGUUAUAUUCGUGUAGAAUUCAUGAACUAGUUCCUCAUCCAUACUAGGCCUCCUUUCAC